ACGGGAGGCAGCAGUGAGGAAUAUUGGUCAAUGGUCGGAAGACUGAACCAGCCAUGCCGCGUGCAGGAAUAAGGCCCUAUGGGUCGUAAACUGCUUUUGUGGUGGAGCAAUAAGGCGUACGUGUACGUCGAUGAGAGUACAUCACGAAUAAGCAUCGGCUAACUCCGUGCCAGCAGCCGCGGUAAUACGGAGGAUGCAAGCGUUAUCCGGAUUUAUUGGGUUUAAAGGGUGCGUAGGCUGUGCAUCAAGUCAGCGGUGAAAGCCCGGGGCCUAACUCCGGAACUGCCGUUGAUACUGUUGUGCUGGGAUACGGAUGCCGUGGGAGGAAUGAGUAGUGUAGCGGUGAAAUGCAUAGAUAUUACUCAGAACACCGAUUGCGAAGGCAUCUCACGAAUCCGUUAUUGACGCUGAGGCACGAAAGCGUGGGGAUCAAACAGGAUUAGAUACCCUGGUA
rnacentral:rRNA from 1 species